GAAGGGUGCAAGCGUUACUCGGAAUUACUGGGCGUAAAGCGUGCGUAGGUGGUUUGUUAAGUCUGAUGUGAAAGCCCUGGGCUCAACCUGGGAAUUGCAUUGGAUACUGGCAGGCUAGAGUGCGGUAGAGGAUGGCGGAAUUCCCGGUGUAGCAGUGAAAUGCGUAGAGAUCGGGAGGAACAUCUGUGGCGAAGGCGGCCAUCUGGACCAGCACUGACACUGAGGCACGAAAGCGUGGGGAGCAAACAGGAUUAGAUACCCUGGUAGUCCACGCCCUAAACGAUGCGAACUGGAUGUUGGGAGCAAUUAGGCUCUCAGUAUCGAAGCUAACGCGUUAAGUUCGCCGCCUGGGGAGUACGGUCGCAA
rnacentral:rRNA from 1 species